CCAACAGAAAUUUGGUUAAACAAAACUUUUCAAGAGAAUUUAUCAAAUAAACAGAUCGAAUCACAGAUGGGAGACUCUGUGAUAGAGAGACUUUGUGCAAUAAUCUACUGCGGGCUGCCAGUUGAUACCUACCCUGGCCUUCAAACUGACGAUCAGCACGCAAUGUUAAAUCUGUCCAGAGAGCCCACCCAGUCACACCUCCUCCAGUGCUGACCUGGAAGAGGAAGGAAGCACCAGGAUCUCCUACACUAUCUGUACUGCGUCAGAGAACACAUACGCUAUUGAGUACUAUUCAACACUUGAAUAGCUACAUAU